rnacentral:tRNA from 1 species
GGAGAGAUGGCUCAGUGGUUAAGAGCUCUGGCUGCUUUUCCAGGGGAUCUGGGUUCAAUUCCCAGCACCC